GUGGAUGUAGCUCAGCUGGUUAGAGCACCGGAUUGUGGUUCCGGGGGUCGUGGGUUCAAAUCCCAUCAUCCACCCCA
rnacentral:tRNA from 1 species